rnacentral:rRNA from 1 species
UGCAAACCAAAGCUGGCGACCGGCGCACGGGUGAGUAACACGUAUCCAACCUACCUCAUACUCGGGGAUAGCCUUCGAAAGAAAGAUUAAUAUCCGAUAGCAUAUAUUUCCCGCAUGGGUUUUAUAUUAAAGAAAUUCGGUAUGAGAUGGGGAUGCGUUCCAUUAGUUUGUUGGGGGGGUAACGGCCCACCAAGACUACGAUGGAUAGGGGUUCUGAGAGGAAGGUCCCCCACAUUGGAACUGAGACACGGUCCAAACUCCUACGGGAGGCAGCAGUGAGGAAUAUUGGUCAAUGGACGCGAGUCUGAACCAGCCAAGUAGCGUGAAGGAUGACUGCCCUAUGGGUUGUAAACUUCUUUUAUAUGGGAAUAAAGUGGUCCACGUGUGGACUUUUGUAUGUACCAUAUGAAUAAGGAUCGGCUAACUCCGUGCCAGCAGCCGCGGUAAUACGGAGGAUCCGAGCGUUAUCCGGAUUUAUUGGGUUUAAAGGGAGCGUAGGCGGAUUGUUAAGUCAGUUGCGAAAGUUUGCGGCUCAACCGUAAAAUUGCAGUUGAUACUGGCAGUCUUGAGUGCAGUAGAGGUGGGCGGAAUUCGUGGUGUAGCGGUGAAAUGCUUAGAUAUCACGAAGAACUC